UGCAGUCGAACGAAGUUAUUUGAGCUUGCUUAGAUAACUUAGUGGCGGACGGGUGAGUAACACGUGAGCAAUCUGCCUUUCAGAGGGGGAUACCGAUUGGAAACGAUCGUUAAUACCGCAUAACAUAGUAAAUUCGCAUGUUUUUACUAUCAAAGAUUUAUCGCUGAAAGAUGAGCUCGCGUCUGAUUAGGUAGUUGGUGAGGUAACGGCCCACCAAGCCGACGAUCAGUAGCCGGACUGAGAGGUUGAACGGCCACAUUGGGACUGAGACACGGCCCAGACUCCUACGGGAGGCAGCAGUGGGGAAUAUUGCACAAUGGAGGAAACUCUGAUGCAGCGAUGCCGCGUGAGGGAAGAAGGUUUUCGGAUUGUAAACCUCUGUGUACAGGGACGAUAAUGACGGUACCUGUUCAGAAAGCUCCGGCUAACUACGUGCCAGCAGCCGCGGUAAUACGUAGGGAGCGAGCGUUGUCCGGAAUUACUGGGUGUAAAGGGAGUGUAGGCGGGACGGCAAGUCAGAUGUGAAAUUUAGGGGCUCAACCCCUGACCUGCAUUUGAAACUGCUGUUCUUGAGUGAAGUAGAGGUAAGCGGAAUUCCUAGUGUAGCGGUGAAAUGCGUAGAUAUUAGGAGGAACACCAGUGGCGAAGGCGGCCAACUGGGCUUUUACUGACGCUGAGGCUCGAAAGUGUGGGGAGCAAACAGGAUUAGAUACCCUGGUAGUCCACACCGUAAACGAUGAU
rnacentral:rRNA from 1 species